rnacentral:rRNA from 1 species
AUUGAACGCUGGCGGCAGGCCUAACACAUGCAAGUCGAGCGGAUGAAGGGAGCUUGCUCCUGGAUUCAGCGGCGGACGGGUGAGUAAUGCCUAGGAAUCUGCCUGGUAGUGGGGGAUAACGUCCGGAAACGGGCGCUAAUACCGCAUACGUCCUGAGGGAGAAAGUGGGGGAUCUUCGGACCUCACGCUAUUAGAUGAGCCUAGGUCGGAUUAGCUAGUUGGUGAGGUAAAGGCCUACCAAGGCGACGAUCCGUAACUGGUCUGAGAGGAUGAUCAGACACACUGGAACUGAGACACGGUCCAGACUCCUACGGGAGGCAGCAGUGGGGAAUAUUGGACAAUGGGCGAAAGCCUGAUCCAGCCAUGCCGCGUGUGUGAAGAAGGUCUUCGGAUUGUAAAGCACUUUAAGUUGGGAGGAAGGGCAGUAAGUUAAUACCUUGCUGUUUUGACGUUACCAACAGAAUAAGCACCGGCUAACUUCGUG